UACAGAGGUGGCAAGCGUUGUUCGGAAUUACUGGGCGUAAAGCGUGCGCAGGCGGUUUUGUAAGCCAGAUGUGAAAUCCCCGGGCUUAACCUGGGAAUUGCAGUCGAUACUACUCAGCUAGAGUAUGGGAGAGGGCAGUGGAAUUCCCGGUGUAGCGGUGAAAUGCGUAGAUAUCGGGAGGAACAUCAGUGGCGAAGGGCGGCUGCCUGGCCCAAUACUGACACUC
rnacentral:rRNA from 1 species